CAGGGCCUUAGCGUUGGACGUGCAAGUGGCCUAUCAAACUGAUCCUCAACCCCCCACGCAGAUAGCCAGCAGUGUGGAAAGUAUCCCUCCAAUUGUUUCGGAGCCUGUGGCGGGGAGUCUCCCUUCAGAGCUGUGCACUGGGUCAAAAGCAGACGAGGGCACCCGGUGCCAUGAUGCAGUGCUAGAAACUGAAAUUUGCUUUUGACCUAGACGGAGUGUAAAUGCUGCAUCCGGAGUCUCCUGUCUUCUCGCACGCGCUGUCUGGGUCGGCUCUGUACUCCCGACAAACCGCCCCACGCCAAACGAAGGAGGCUGUUUAUUUUGAGAGGAAGCUUUAAUCCACCGGGAGGUGAGGGGUGUGAAAGCUCCCACCGUGACUCUUGCCUGCCUUUCGUUGUCCCCGCCCCAGCCAUCGGAGUGACCUUGACCUCCACCUGCUAACGUGCGCGAGUCCGCUUCAGAUCGCCACGUGACUGCUAAACCAGGCAAGGAAGCUUUGGGGAGAGAAGGGGGAAACCGUCAAGCCUGUUCUUUUUAAUAUAUACACCCAUAUAUAUAUAUCUCUCUCUCUCUAAACAACAAUUUAAACCUUUUCCUUGGAGGCUGAUGAAGGAUUCUGAGGAACAUUUUGAUCCUCUCUGUAGUGCAUUGAAAAUGGAGCCAGGAUUUGUUUGUCUCCUGGGGCAUCCAUCGCCAAAUGACCUCUUCCUGAUUAAAUGUCUAUAUUAGACACUACAUUUUCCUACUUUUUUUGUUUAAUAAUGUGUAUCCCAGGACCUUUUUUUAAUUUUGUCACAUUUUACAAACUGUUACAUGCAUGAGUGUGUUUGUGUGUGUUUUUCCUGAAUUGGUAUUUAUGAAUGUCAUGUAUUUAAGCUGUUUCCACCUCUUUCCCCUCCCCUCCCCCAAUUUCGGGAUAGCAAGAAGACGCUCGCUUUCCGCAGACGUGCAAUCUUGUGGCUUUUUUUUUUAAAACUACUUCCUCAAAGGGAGGAAGCGGGCAGAGGAAGACUAGUAGGGAGUCUUUGACAAAAAAAAAACAAGAGCACUGGACAUUGAGAGGUAUCCCCGGUGUGCAUGCGCCAUAAUGUUACAGAUACUCUCGUGUGUACGCCUCCGCUGUGGGGUGGACAGACUUUCUGCAGUAUUCUCCGACUGUAUGUGCAAAGCUGCGAGAUCAGUUUCUGAUGACUCUGAAGUGCUGAUGCCCCCAACCCCAAACUCGCUUUCAGGGAGCUUGUACCCCUUGGACUGACUGGAUACAUUCUACCCCAGUUAUCUUUUUAUUGUCGCUGGGCGAGCAGUUGCCAAAAUGGAACCGGCAAUUGCCGUGAGUGUCCGGCUCCUCUCUGUGUAUCCUUUCCCCAGUUUUGAGGAGGUGAUGAAUCAAGCCUCCACUCCUUCCCGGCUGGUUCGGUGUAAAUCUCUUUCAGUGAGUGGCGAGGAGGAGAGCGUUGUGGGUGAGAUUAAAAACAGAGCUUUGUUUGUAGUUCCCAGGUUCCUGGGUAAGUUGCCCUCAGAUUUAGCGAGGAGUCUGUGUAUUUGCGCUUGCUGGCCCACAAUCUGUGCUGCGGCGGUGAGGCUGGGGAGUCUUUGCCUUUGGGAGCAGGGUGGUGGGAGGGGGAGGAACAUGAAAACGUAAAGGAUCGAAUGUAUCCUGCAAUCUUUUCCCCUCGCCACCUCGUCCCACUUCCCCAAACCGUACUGUGGACAACUCCGAUGAGAGUUUGGAUAAUUUGGUUCCCAUCAGACUCCUCUCCCCCCCCCCCCCCCC